rnacentral:rRNA from 1 species
CGGUGUUUAACUGGCGUGAUGUGGGACGUCCUACCGGUGGGCUUAGCCUCGCGAGGGGCGGCCCAACUAAUAUCCCGUCGCGGUGCUCUUUACUGAGUGUCGAGUCGGGCCGGUACGUUUACUUUGAACAAAUUAGAGUGCUUAAAGCAGGCUAUCCUCGCCUGAAUACUGCGUGCAUGGAAUAAUGGAAUAGGACCUCGGUUCUAUUUUGUUGGUUUUCGGAACCCCGAGGUAAUGAUUAAUAGGGACAGAUGGGGGCAUCCGUAUUGCGACGUUAGAGGUGAAAUUCUUGGAUCGUCGCAAGACGGACAGAAGCGAAAGCAUUUGCCAAAAAUGUUUUCAUUAAUCAAGAACGAAAGUUAGAGGUUCGAAGGCGAUCAGAUACCGCCCUAGUUCUAACCAUAAACGAUGCCAGCUAGCGAUCCGCCGAAGUUCCUCCGAUGACUCGGCGGGCAGCUUCCGGGAAACCAAAGCUUUUGGGUUCCGGGGGAAGUAUGGUUGCAAAGCUGAAACUUAAAGGAAUUGACGGAAGGGCACCACCAGGAGUGGAGCCUGCGGCUUAAUUUGACUCAACACGGGAAACCUCACCAGGCCCAGACACCGGAAGGAUUGACAGAUUGAUAGCUCUUUCUUGAUUCGGUGGGUGGUGGUGCAUGGCCGUUCUUAGUUGGUGGAGCGAUUUGUCUGGUUAAUUCCGAUAACGAACGAGACUCUAGCCUGCUAAAUAGGCGUACCUUAUGGUAUCGCGAAGGCCCCCGGCUUCGGCCGGUGGGUUUUUACUACCAACGUACAAACAAAUCUUCUUAGAGGGCACAGGCGG